GAUGAACGCUGGCGGCGUGCCUAAUACAUGCAAGUCGAGCGAACAGACGAGGAGCUUGCUCCUCUGACGUUAGCGGCGGACGGGUGAGUAACACGUGGAUAACCUACCUAUAAGACUGGGAUAACUUCGGGAAACCGGAGCUAAUACCGGAUAAUAUAUUGAACCGCAUGGUUCAAUAGUGAAAGACGGUUUUGCUGUCACUUAUAGAUGGAUCCGCGCCGCAUUAGCUAGUUGGUAAGGUAACGGCUUACCAAGGCGACGAUGCGUAGCCGACCUGAGAGGGUGAUCGGCCACACUGGAACUGAGACACGGUCCAGACUCCUACGGGAGGCAGCAGUAGGGAAUCUUCCGCAAUGGGCGAAAGCUUGACGGAGCAACGCCGCGUGAGUGAUGAAGGUCUUCGGAUCGUAAAACUCUGUUAUUAGGGAAGAAAAAAUGUGUAAGUAACUAUGCACGUCCUGACGGUACCUAAUCAGAAAGCCACGGCUAACUACGUG
rnacentral:rRNA from 1 species